GAUCAUGGCUCAGGAUAAACGCUGGCGGCGUGCCUAAUGCAUGCAAGUCGAACGGGGUAGUUUCGGAUUACCUAGUGGCGGACGGGUGAGUAACACGUGGGUGACCUGCCCAGAAGUGGGGAAUAACGAUAAGAAAUUAUCGCUAAUACCGCAUAAGCUUGAGUAUUCGUUUACUUAAGUAAAGGACGUAAGUUCGCUUUUGGAGGGGCCUGCGGCUGAUUAGCUAGUUGGUGGGGUAAAGGCCUACCAAGGCAGUGAUCAGUAGCUGGUCUGAGAGGAUGAUCAGCCACACUGGGACUGAGAUACGGCCCAGACUCCUACGGGAGGCAGCAGCAAGGAAUUUUCCGCAAUGGGGGAAACCCUGACGGAGCAAACCGCCGCGUGAGUGAUGAAGCCUUUCGGGGUGUAAAACUCUUUUCUGAGGGAAGAAGAUCUGACGGUACCUCAGGAAUAAGCAUCGGCUAACUACGUGCCAGCAGCAGC
rnacentral:rRNA from 1 species